rnacentral:rRNA from 1 species
AUGGGGGAAAACCAAGGAAUUGAGAAAGUGCUUGAGAAACUAGCUCAACUUAUUACGACAAAGGUGAGCGACGCAUCACCUUCAGGCAAUGCGAUUAUCGCUCAGCCGGAGUCGAUUCAGAAAAUAGAAUUGAUGCCGAAUGAAAUCAAAUUGGAGGGCGUCAAAAAUUAUUUGAGCUGGUCAAGGAGGGCAUUGCUGAUCUUGAAAACAAAGGGACUUGAGAGCUUUGUUAAUGGAGAAGCACUUAGCCAUUGGACAAGAAAUGUGCAGAAUGGAGGACUUAGAGUACUACCAAUUCCCUGA